GUAGAACCGUUUUGGGUUCCAUGUAGAACCAUUUGUGGAAAGGCUUCUAAAUGGAACCCAAAAGGGUUCUACCUGGAACCAUAAAAUAUUCAAAGGGUUCUCCUAUGGGGCAGCAGAAGAACCCUUUUAGGGUUCUAGAUAGCACCUUUUUUUCUAAGAGUGUACCUGCGGGCCUAACACACCCUUUGCCACAUCCUCAUGGACUCUGGACACGUGUUUGGAAGCGGUUUAGUGUUUGGCCCAAAGGUCAAAGAGCGUACUUGGCCUCCACCUGUGCACCUUAGAUGUGAAUUCUGACUUCUGAUGUCAUACAAAUUGACAUUUUCAUGUGUUUCCUACUCAAUAUGUUUUCAGGGUUCAUGCCUGGUUAUUUGUAUGUGUUAUUGAGAACUGCCAUUAAUCUGGACUGUGUGGAACAUUAAACUCAAAAUGAUUUUCCUUGCUCCUAAAACUAUAGCUUUAAAAUACACAGGGACUGCGGG
ensembl:lncRNA